AACAGCGUAAUUCAGAGGAAGAAUGCAAGGCUCAUAACCUUGAAGUCGCUGGAUCGAAACCAGUCGCUGUUA
rnacentral:tRNA from 2 species